UGGCUCAGGACGAACGCUGGCGGCGUGCCUAAUACAUGCAAGUCGAACGGUCUUUCUAUGGAAGCUGCUCCACUGAGAAGAUAGUGGCGAACGGGUGAGUAACACGUGGGUAACCUGCCCAUAAGAGGGGGAUAACAUCCGGAAACGGGUGCUAAUACCGCAUAGUUUCUUGAUUGCAUGAUUGAGAAAGGAAAGACGGCCUUUGUGCUGUCGCUUAUGGAUGGACCCGCGGCGUAUUAGUUAGUUGGUGAGGUAACGGCUCACCAAGACGAUGAUACGUAGCCGACCUGAGACGGGUGAUCGGCCACAUUGGGACUGAGACACGGCCCAAACUCCUACGGGAGGCAGCAGUAGGGAAUCUUCCGCAAUGGGCGAAAGCCUGACGGAGCGACGCCCGCGUGAACGAAGAAGGCCGUGAGGUUGUAAAGUUCUUUUCGGGAGGGGGAACAACCGUGGCAGGGGAAUGGCCGCGGGAUGACGUGAAUCCCGGAAUAAGCCCCGGCUAACUACGUGCCAGCAGCUGC
rnacentral:rRNA from 1 species